rnacentral:tRNA from 1 species
GGGCGCGUAGCUCAGGGGUAGAGCACUGUGUUGACAUCGCAGGGGUCGGCAGUUCGAAACUGCCCGUGCCCACCA